ACGUGCUUCGGCACCCACCCCUCUCAACCGGACUUCCACGACCCCUUUCCUCACCGAGCGAACGUAGAGGUGGGGGGAACCAUUUCCCUGCACGGGGGGCGGCGUCUGGCCGUCCCCCCGCCCCCCCCUUCCCAGCUCCUCGCGCGUGCGCGCGCUCCCCUUCCCUCCGCGCAGGCCCAGAGCCCCGCGCGCCGCUCAUUAGCCUCUCCCCGCCCUGCUUUGUUCCCAUUGUGCGCCUCGCUCGGCCCGGCGGAGGGCGGGGAGGCGAGCGAGCGCCGCUGCGCGCCAAGGCGCGUCUCCGGCCAGGCGCGUCUUGGAGGAGGCAGGCAGGCGCCGCGUCUGCAGCAGCCUCCUCGGCGGAGGGAUGGAGGCUGCUGUGCUGAAGCCCCUGGUGGCCGAGGUGAAGCCGGGCGCCGUCAGCGCCGAGCUGGAGGUGAAGAAGCUGCAGGAGCUGGUGCGCAAGCUGGAGAAGCAGAACGAGCAGCUGCGCAGCCGGGCGGCCGCCACCUCGCCCGCCUCGCCGGGAAGCGCCGCCGCCGCCGCCGCCCGGCGCGCUCCUGCUGCUGCCCCCCGCCGCCGCCACCCCCAGCACCUCCCCGACGGCCUGCAUGCCCAGCCCGGUGCCCGCGCUCCUGUGCCAAGCCGAGCCCUUCGUCUACUUCAAGCCGUCGCCCCCCGGAGGAGGAGGAGGAGGGGAGGAAGCUGCCGCCCCGGAGGCCACGAAGCCUCUCCCCCUACGGACACCGUCCUGGACGAAGUGGAGGUGCUGGAUCUGCAGGGGGUCGAGUGCUGCGAUCCGGAGGACGACGGCGACGACGAGACGUGGUGGGUGCCCCACUUGGGUGCAUUUCUAGGCAGGCUCCAGAUCCAGGACCCCCCCCCAACCAGAGUGGGACAACCCAGUCAGAUGGGCGGCAUAUAAAUAAUAAUAAAAAUAUUAUUGCUUCCAUCCUCACCGAAGGAAAGGCUUCCCCCUCCCCUGCUCGUCGCCUGGGGCCCUUCCUAGGAAAGCCCCCUCCUCUCUCCCCAGCUGGCGCUUUUCAAGGCUGCCUUAUUAGCAUUAGCUCCGCAAUCCCCCUUGAUCCUGUUUCGCAGCGAUUUAAAUCAGCCUUUUUCACCCCCUUAACGUCUCCUCGGUCAUCAUUAUUAACUCCUUCCCCCGCCACGGGGGACUCGCUUAGGGGACUCGUAUUGUCGCUUCCUGCUUCCCACAAGCCCAGGGUUUGCCUCCUGGAUCCUGCCUGUUCAGAAAUAUCCUGCCCUUGCUGCAUGCUUAAAUUUAUGGGGUCCUACCCCACCCCGAAUCCUUCAGAAACGCUUCGGCCUAAUGACUAG
rnacentral:lncRNA from 1 species